UACGAAGGGGGCUAGCGUUGUUCGGAAUUACUGGGCGUAAAGGGCGCGUAGGCGGACAGUUUAGUCAGAGGUGAAAGCCCAGGGCUCAACCUUGGAAUUGCCUUUGAUACUGGCUGUCUUGAGUACGGGAGAGGUGAGUGGAACUCCGAGUGUAGAGGUGAAAUUCGUAGAUAUUCGGAAGAACACCAGUGGCGAAGGCGACUCACUGGCCCGUUACUGACGCUGAGGCGCGAAAGCGUGGGGAGCAAACAGG
rnacentral:rRNA from 1 species